AGUGGGGAAUUUUGGACAAUGGGGGCAACCCUGAUCCAGCAAUGCCGCGUGUGUGAAGAAGGCCUUCGGGUUGUAAAGCACUUUUGUCCGGAAAGAAAUCCCUUGCUCUAAUACAGCGGGGGGAUGACGGUACCGGAAGAAUAAGCACCGGCUAANUACGUGCCAGCAGCCGCGGUAAUACGUAGGGUGCGAGCGUUAAUCGGAAUUACUGGGCGUAAAGCGUGCGCAGGCGGUUUUGUAAGACAGGCGUGAAAUCCCCGAGCUCAACUUGGGAAUGGCGCUUGUGACUGCAAGGCUAGAGUAUGUCAGAGGGGGGUAGAAUUCCACGUGUAGCAGUGAAAUGCGUAGAGAUGUGGAGGAAUACCGAUGGCGAAGGCAGCCCCCUGGGACGUCACUGACGCUCAUGCACGAAAGCGUGGGGAGCAAACAGGAUUAGAUACCCUGGUAGUCCACGCCCU
rnacentral:rRNA from 1 species